rnacentral:rRNA from 1 species
CUACGGGAGGCUGCAGUGAGGAAUAUUGCGCAAUGGGGGGAACCCUGAUGCAGCAACGCCGCGUGGAGGAUGACGCAUUUCGGUGUGUAAACUCCUCUUAUAUGUCAAGAAAAUGACGGUAGCAUAUGAAUAAGCACCGGCUAACUCCGUGCCAGCAGCCGCGGUAAUACGGAGGGUGCAAGCGUUACUCGGAAUCACUGGGCGUAAAGGACGCGUAGGCGGGUUGGAAAGUCAGGUGUGAAAUCCUACAGCUUAACUGUAGAACUGCACUUGAAACUUCUAAUCUAGAGUAUGGGAGGGGGAGAUGGAAUUAGUGGUGUAGGGGUAAAAUCCGUAGAUAUAACUAGGAAUACCUAAAGCGAAGGCGAUCUCCUGGAACAUUACUGACGCUAAGGCGUGAAAGCGUGGGGAGCAAACAGGAUUAGAUACCCGCGUAGUC